GAUGAAGAACGUAGCGAAAUGCGAUAAGUAAUGUGGAUUGCAGAAUUCAGUGAAUCAUCGAAUCUUUGAACGCACCUUGCGCCUUUUGGUAUUCCGAAAGGCACACCUGUUUGAGCGUCAUGAAUACCUCAAUCUCCAUCUUUUCUUCGGAUUGAUGGGUGACUUGGAUGUUGAGCCCUGCUGGUAUGCUAUAUCAGCUGGCUUUAAACUUAUUAGCCGGCUCUGUACUGGAUCGGUUUGACUCGACGUGAUAAUAUUAUCGUUGAGGAUGCAUGUCUCAUGCAGCCGGAAAGUAUCAAAGCAGCUUCUAGCUUGCCUUUAGUGCACUUUUACAUUUUAGACCUCAGAUCAGGUGGGACUACCCGCUGAACUUAAGCAUAUCAAUAAGCGGAGGA
rnacentral:misc_RNA from 1 species